UACGUAGGGGGCGAGCGUUAUCCGGAGUUACUGGGCGUAAAGCGCACGCAGGCGGUCAGAUUAGUCUGUCGUGACAGUCGUCGGCUUAACUGACGAAGUACGAUGGAAACUGUCUGACUUGAGGGCUUCAGAGGGACAUGGAAUUCCCGGUGUAGCGGUGAAAUGCGCAGAUAUCGGGAGGAACACCGGUGGCGAAGGCGGGUUCUCUGGGCCUUACCUGACGCUGAGGAGCGAAAGCGUGGGGAGCGAACAGG
rnacentral:rRNA from 1 species